CCUACGGGAGGCAGCAGUGAGGAAUAUUGGUCAAUGGUCGGGAGACUGAACCAGCCAAGCCGCGUGAGGGAGGAAGGUACAGAGUAUCGUAAACCUCUUUUGUCAGGGAACAAAGGCGGGGACGUGUCCCCGGAUGAGUGUACCUGAAGAAAAAGCAUCGGCUAACUCCGUGCCAGCAGCCGCGGUAAUACGGAGGAUGCGAGCGUUAUCCGGAUUUAUUGGGUUUAAAGGGUGCGCAGGCGGUCUGUUAAGUCAGCGGUGAAAGCCCGGGGCUCAACCCCGGCCCGCCGUUGAAACUGGCAGUCUCGAGUUGGAGAGAAGUAUGCGGAAUGCGCGGUGUAGCGGUGAAAUGCAUAGAUAUCGCGCAGAACUCCGAUUGCGAAGGCAGCAUGCCGGCUCCACACUGACGCUGAGGCACGAAAGCGUGGGUAUCGAACAGGAUUAGAUACCCUAGUAGUC
rnacentral:rRNA from 1 species